GAUAGCAGCAUCACCCUUCAGCCUUCAACUGUCUCCCACUGAAGCUAAGCAGGGUUGAGCCUGGUCAGUACCUGGAUGAGAGACUUCCUGGGAAGCUAUGGUCGCUGCUGGAA
rnacentral:rRNA from 1 species